AGCUUUGUGCAGUGGCAAUAUUAUAGCCAGUGAGGUUUAACCAAGCCAUAACUAUUACCAAUUGAAAUUUAAAGGCAGCUAAAUGACUCAGUGGGUAGAGUGUUGGGCCUAGAAUCAGGAAGACCUG
rnacentral:snRNA from 1 species